UUAACGAUUUAUAAGUAUUCAGACGACAUAAUUAUGAAGGAAUUUGAGAAGGCUACUGGCGGACACUGACCAGGGGCGAAAACCCCCGGCGGCCCCUGAAGGCGGGCCCACCAAAGCAACAUGGUAUAAUCAACAAAGGGUUGGAGGUCGGGCCUGAAAGACCCUAACUCGGUAAUGAUCCUUCCGCAGGUUCACCUACGGAAA
rnacentral:misc_RNA from 1 species